UAGGGAAUCUUCCACAAUGGACGCAAGUCUGAUGGAGCAACGCCGCGUGAGUGAAGAAGGUUUUCGGACCGUAAAGCUCUGUUGUUGGUGAAGAAGGAUAGAGGUAGUAACUGGCCUUUAUUUGACGGUAAUCAACCAGAAAGUCACGGCUAACUACGUGCCAGCAGCCGCGGUAAUACGUAGGUGGCAAGCGUUGUCCGGAUUUAUUGGGCGUAAAGCGAGCGCAGGCGGAAGAAUAAGUCUGAUGUGAAAGCCCUCGGCUUAACCGAGGAAUUGCAUCGGAAACUGUUUUUCUUGAGUGCAGAAGAGGAGAGUAGAACUCCAUGUGUAGCGGUGGAAUGCGUAGAUAUAUGGAAGAAUACCAGUGGCGAAGGCGGCUCUCUGGUCUGCAACUGACGCUGAGGCUCGAAAGCAUGGGUAGCGAACAGGAUUAGAUACCCUGGUAGUCCAUGCCGUAAACGAUGAGUGCUAAGU
rnacentral:rRNA from 1 species